rnacentral:rRNA from 1 species
AGUGAACGCUGGCGGUAGGCCUAACACAUGCAAGUCGAACGGCAACACAGUAAGAGCUUGCUCUUACGAGUGGCGAGUGGCGGACGGGUGAGGAAUACAUCGGAAUCUACUUUUUCGUGGGGGAUAACGUAGGGAAACUUACGCUAAUACCGCAUACGACCUACGGGUGAAAGCAGGGGAUCUUCGGACCUUGCGCGAUUGAAUGAGCCGAUGUCGGAUUAGCUAGUUGGCGGGGUAAAGGCCCACCAAGGCAACGAUCCGUAGCUGGUCUGAGAGGAUGAUCAGCCACACUGGAACUGAGACACGGUCCAGACUCCUACGGGAGGCAGCAGUGGGGAAUAUUGGACAAUGGGCGCAAGCCUGAUCCAGCCAUACCGCGUGGGUGAAGAAGGUCUUCGGGUUGUAAAGCCCUUUUGUUGGGAAAGAAAAGCAGCAGGUUAAUACCCCGCUGUUCUGACGGUACCCAAAGAAUAAGCACCGGCUAACUUCGUG